UUCCCCCCUUUCCCCCAAACCCCAGCUUGCAUUCCCCGUUCCGGCGCCGCCGACGGCCACCUGCACCGCCAGCGAUGGCCGCCGCCGACGCUGACGACGUCGCUCCGCCCACCGCGUCCGGCUACCUCGACCCCUCCUACUGGGACGAGCGGUUCGGGAAGGAGGAGCACUACGAGUGGUUCAAGGACUUCUCCCACUUCCGCCACCUCCUCGCCCCGCUCCUCUCCCCGUCCCUCUCGGUCCUCGAGGUUGGGUGCGGCAACUCGCGUCUUGGGGAGGAGCUCCUGCGGGAGGGCGUCGCCGGCGGCAUCACCUGCGUCGACCUCUCCCCCGUCGCCGUCCAGCGGAUGCGCGACCGCCUUGCCGCGCAGGGCACCAAAGGUGUGGAUGUUGUGGUGGCUGACAUGCUUGACCUGCCGUUCGAGCCAGAGAGCUUUGACCUCGUGAUCGAGAAGGGCACCAUGGACGUAUUGUUUGUGGACAGUGGCGAUCCAUGGAACCCCAAUCCUACAACAGUAAAUAACGUGAUGAAAAUGCUUGAAUGUAUCCACAGGGUUUUGAAGCCAGAAGGCAUAUUUGUAUCAAUUACCUUCGGACAGCCACACUUUCGACGUCGAUUUUUUGAAGCUCCUGAGUUUACAUGGUCUGUUGAGUACAGUACCUUUGGUGACGGCUUCCAUUAUUUCUUCUACAUGCUUCAGAAGGGCAAGAGGUCACUGGAGUCCAAUAGUUACCAAAAUAUAAUACCUGCUGCUCCAAGAAUAAAUAUGGUCCAUGAAGAGCUCGAGAGCGAAGAUUUUAUAUUCCGCACAAAUGUAGAGGAGUUGUGAGUGGCAGGUUAACAAGAGGCUGCCAUGAUCUUUGAAGGUUUGAUGAAGGCAUGAAGCUAACACAUCAAAAGAGGGGCCAGUCCAGCAUUGGAACGAUAACUAGGGUGGGAUCUUGGAAAUUGCAUGGCUUGGUUUGAGUUGGAUGCAGAAGGAGCUGGAAAAAUAAAUAUGGGCAAGCGGUCACCGGAGUCCAGCAGUUAUCAAAAUUCACUACCUGCUGCUCCAAGAAUAAAUAUGGUACAUGAAGAGUUCGAGAGCGAGGAUUUAUUCAAUAUGUGUAUUUCUUUUCUGAAUCCGUCAGUUGAGAUAUUGAGGCUAGGUUUUAGAAUAUGGCCAUUUCGUUGUACUGUGGAGCCAAAACAAACUCUCAUGACUGAAAAAAAAAAGCCUCUGGCGAGAGGUGCUCCGGGCAACAGUGGUGGUGUCCGGUGGACGGUUCACUUGCCUCGGCAGUGGUUGGCAAGUGUGUUUUCCUUCUA